CUUACACAUGCAAGUCGAGGGGCAGCACAAGGUAGCUUGCUAUCUGGGUGGCGACCGGCGCACGGGUGCGUAACGCGUAUGCAACUUGCCCUAUACAGGAGGAUAACCCGUCGAAAGACGGACUAAUACUGCGUAUGCUCACAACUUGGCAUCAAGAAGUGAGGAAAGAAAUUCGGUAUAGGAUAGGCAUGCGUCCCAUUAGCUUGUUGGUGAGGUAACGGCUCACCAAGGCAACGAUGGGUAGGGGAACUGAGAGGUUUAUCCCCCACACUGGUACUGAGACACGGACCAGACUCCUACGGGAGGCGGCAGUGAGGAAUAUUGGUCAAUGGGCGAGAGCCUGAACCAGCCAAGUCGCGUGAAGGGUGACUGUCUUAUGGAUUGUAAACUUCUUUUAUACGGGAAUAACAAGAGUCACGUGUGACUCCCUGCAUGUACCGUAUGAAUAAGCAUCGGCUAACUCCGUGCCAGCAGCCGCGGUAAUACGGAGGAUGCGAGCGUUAUCCGGAUCUAUUGGGUUUAAAGGGUGCGUAGGCGGUUUGUUAAGUCAGCGGUGAAAUCUAGAGGCUCAACCUCGAAACUGCCGUUGAAACUGGCGAACUUGAGUGUAGAUGAGGUAGGCGGAAUUCGUGGUGUAGCGGUGAAAUGCAUAGAUAUCACGAGGAACUCCAAUUGCGGAGGCAGCUUACUAAGGUACAACUGACGCUGAAGCACGAAAGCGUGGGUAUCAAACAGGAUUAGAUACCCUGGUAGUCCACGCAGUAAACGAUGAUAACUGGGCGUAUGCGAUAUACAGUAUGCUCCUAAGCGAAAACGUUAAGUUAUCCA
rnacentral:rRNA from 1 species